CCAACCUCCUCUCCUCUCCCAACCCACUCGCCGCCAGCCUCCCUUCCACCUCCUCUCCUUCGUCCGUCCGCCCCCAUGCCCCCCGCCGCGUGGGCCACGCUGGCGGCCGCGUGCCUGCCGCUCCCCAUCUCGCGCCGUUGCCCGCCUAUGUCAUCGGCAAGUUGCCCCCGCGCUCCAAUCGACACACUACGAUCCGGACAGCCGCUGCUAGCACUCCAACAGAUCCACCCGGCCGUCCGGCGGAGGCGAAGCGGCGACCAUGGAGGAGGAGCUGCGUGCGCUACCCCGCGACCUCGACGCGCUCAAGCAGCUCCCCGACCCAGCCUCCAUCGACUGGAUGCGAGAUCGCGUGGUGAAGAUGAUGGGCCCGUCCGGCGCCGCUGCCGCCACCCGAUCGAAGAUCAAGGACAUGCACGGAGGUUGUGGACAGCAACCCCUACAGCAGGCUCAUGGCGCUGCAGCGGAUGGGGAUCGUUGACAACUACGAGCGCAUCCGCGACUACUCUGUCGCCAUUGUGAUAAGCAUCUCGCUCUUAUCUAGCUGUGAGGCGUUACUUAGAAAGCAAUUCGAGUUGGCAAUUGGCAUUGAGCAGACCUGUAACUUUCCUCUUUGAGUAGAGGACAUUAGUUGGUAUACUGUGAAGUUCUCAAAUGGAAAUCAUGGAUCAAGCAAAUAUGUAAAGGGUAGUGAGUAGAUGGAGUGUAGAUGAUUACUCUUCACUUGUGUCUUUGCAUACUAGGCUUUCCUUGAUGAAAUAUCGUGGUUAACAACAUGUACUCAACCCCACAGGAGUUUGAUGUCAAUGCAGUAAUAGCCACAUAAUCAGAUAAUACAUGUACAAGGUUGGGGAGGCACGGUCGGCGUUGGUGUUCUGGUGCAGGUCACCUCACCGGACAUGCACAAUAUAUCAUCUUCAUAUUGUCUACCAAAUGAAAUCUUGGAUUCAUAAAUGGGAGAAGCACAUAAGGGAGAAGAAGAUGAUUGCAAGGAUGGAGAGGGAGCAAAUCAUUUGGAGGGAUAGAAUGCCACUAUUUGGUGUUUUUAUGCAUUUUUGUUUGCUUUCAACUGUGUUUGCACUAGCAGGGAAUAAGUGAUUAGGCAAUAAGUGUAGAUGUAUGGAUAUGCUCUAAUGCUCCUUGUUAAUGAUAUGUAAUGUUGCUGGGUUAUUACAAAUCUGGGCUUGUUUUAGUUGUUAGAAUUGUAUGCAUAAAAUGGAAUUGAUGGAUUUUA